rnacentral:lncRNA from 1 species
AAAAAUAUGAUUUUACUGCAAUGGGAAUAAGGUGUGCUCAUUAUCGUCUUCCAGGUGUUUCCUGCUGCAAUAGUUAAAGCGAGGAAUUGGAAGUAAGACCUAUGGCCACACAGUCUAAAGUAAAUAUCUGGACCUCUAAGGGAAAAAUGCUGUUAAUCUCUGUGAUGAUAAACUUUGAUUAUCAACUGAUUGGGAUGAAAAUGCCAAGGAGAUUAGUGAGCUGUUCUUCUUAGCGUUUGUGUAAGGACAGCUCCCCAGGGUCAAAGUUCUCACCUGACGAACUGCUUAUCUCAAUGGAUUCAAAGAUUUAAAAACUAAAAUUACUAUUAUUGUCAUUGUUAUGAUGAUGAUGAUGAUGACGACUGUGGUGGUGGUGGUGGUGGUGUGUGUGUGUGUGCACACGUGUGUGUUGGAGUGCGUGGGCUUAUGUAUGCAUAUGUAUGGAUACACAUACCAUGUGGAGGUUCGAGGAUAACAUUUGAGUGUUGGUUCUCUCUCUUUACUAUGUGGGUCCUGGGGAUGAAACUCAGGUUGUGAGGCUUGCAUGAAAAAUGCCUUUGUCUACUUAACUGUCAGCCCUAGGCCUAGAUUCAAAUUUUGAAUAGACUAGUGGGAGGUGGCAACUGUAGAAAGUGGGUCUUGGUUAUAGGAAGUAGGUCACUAGGAGAGGGAAUGUCUUUGACAGUUGUAUUGUGCCCUGGCCCCUUCUUACUACGUCUCUGCUCUGCUCUGCUUCUUGCCCACCAUGAUGUCAGCUGUUGCACCAGGGACCCUUGUUGUCACAAUGGAGUCAUAGUCUGAAACCCAAGCAAAGUAAACCUUUCCCCCUUUGAAAUUGUGUCAGGCAUCCUGUCACAGUGCUGAGAAAGCUAACAGAGCCCUGCAGAGACACGACUCUCCUGUAGAUACUUCCUUGGUCAUUUGAAUAUGCUUGGUCUGUCUUGCCCAACCUGGAAGUCACUACCUACAAGUGACAUGUGAAAUGAGACUAUCGUUAUUAAGGAAUGACCUUUGAAUUCUAUUCAACUAACUUCCCUUAAAUCUGGAGAGCUCUCUGGGUCUGGGGCUACCACCUUGGAUGAUCCUGAGAGGAUGGGUGGGUGACUGUGAAGAGGCCGAUACAGUGUCCAGGAGCUGUGCUCUGAGAACAAAGAAACCUCCCUUCUCCCCUCAUCUCAUAACUGGGAAAACUGAAGCUUCAAGAGACUAAUAGUAUGCCCAAGGUCACAUAGCUACAUAGCUAGUAAGUGGCAAAGCCACAGUUCGGGUCAGUUGACUUCUGGGUAUGCACCUAGCACGUGGGAAGCUUCAGGUUCAGUUCUUAGCAUUGCAAAAUGCAAGGACCAAAAAAUGGAGCAAAGACUGAAGGAAAGGCCAUCCAGAGACCACCCCACCUAGGGAUCCAUCCCAUCUACAGACACCAAACCCUGACACUACUGCUGAUGCCAAGAAGUACUUG